rnacentral:rRNA from 1 species
GUGAGGAAUAUUGGACAAUGGAGGCAACUCUGAUCCAGCCAUGCCGCGUGCAGGAAGACGGUCCUAUGGAUUGUAAACUGCUUUUAUACAGGAAGAAACAGUCCCUCGUGAGGGAUCUUGACGGUACUGUAAGAAUAAGCACCGGCUAACUCCGUGCCAGCAGCCGCGGUAAUACGGAGGGUGCAAGCGUUAUCCGGAAUCAUUGGGUUUAAAGGGUCCGUAGGCGGACUAAUAAGUCAGGGGUGAAAUCCAACAGCUUAACUGUUGAACUGCCUUUGAUACUGUUAGUCUUGAAUUAUAUGGAAGUAGAUAGAAUAUGUAGUGUAGCGGUGAAAUGCUUAGAGAUUACAUAGAAUACCGAUUGCGAAGGCAGUCUACUACGUAUAUAUUGACGCUAAUGGACGAAAGCGUGGGGAGCGAACAGGAUUAGAAACCCUAGUAGUCC